GCUUGGCAUGGUGGCAUGUUCCUGUAGUCCCAGCUACUCAGUAGGCUGAGGAAGGAGGAUCACUUGAGUUCAGGAGUUCUGGGUUGUAGUGCACUAUGCCAAUUGGGCAUCCACACUAAGUUCAGCUUCAAUAUGGUGACUUCGUGGGAGAAGAGGACCAUCAGGUUGCCUAAGGAGGGAUGAACUGACCCAGGUCAGAAACAGAGCAGGUCAAAACUCCCAUUCUGAUUAGUAGUGGGAUCAUGCCUGUGAAUAGCCACUGCACUCCAACUUGGGAAACAUAGUGAGACCUGGUUUUCU
rnacentral:SRP_RNA from 10 species